ACCUCCAAUGCUUCCUGCAACAUGCCACCAAUCCACCAUUUGACAUUGGAAUAAGUUCACUUUGUGACCCUCAAAAGUGAUCGAAAUCUAAUCCGCGACCCCAAACCACAAAACCGGAUAUCUCGACCCUCUAACUCUCGAAACCGGUGCAAUUUGACUUCUUGGUUGGUUUUGGAGGGCGGUUUCGCUGACGUGGCGUCUACGUGGCGGUUUUGACUCGGUUUUCUUUCCACGUGACGUUGACGUGGCACUUACGUAGCAUUAGAAAUAAAAAAUAUGUCUAGGACCCAUUUGUCAUACACACAGAAAAAAAAUAUGGGAGCCACUGUCAUGUGGAGCCCACACAAUCCUCUCCUCCCCGUCUUCCUCCUCCCUUCUCUCCUCUCCACGGACGAUGGGGUCUGCGCCGACUCGCCGCCGGCCACCGCCUUGGCCGCCGCCACAGACGGCAUCACUAACGCCCCUCCCCCGCGAGUUGUCGUCGGCCUCCCCCACCCCUUCCCGCGGAGCCGUUGCCAGCGCACCCGACGGCGGGCGGGAGGGCGGACGCUGGAGCAGCGGCGACGACGACCCCUUCUCUCUUGCUCUCCUUCCUUCUUCAAGCGGUGUGGCGACGAGGAGCAGCCGCGGAGCAUGAUUACUGCGGCGGAGAUGGCGAUGGCGCAGUGGAGGCCGGUCGGCCUUGAGGUAGCGCGCCAUGGCGGCGCACGGGGUGAGGCGGGCGUGGAGGACACGGUGGACCGGGUGGAGGAAGAGGUGGAACGCGUGCGGGGGCGCAGGAGGAAGCGUCCGGCAUCAAUUAUCACGACGAGCUGCUUUGGGUGUUCGUCCACGCCGACAUCGGCUACUGCUUUUCUGACUCGCGCCGCCACAGCCUGCCAUAACUCCAAUCCAGCAUCCAUCGAGAUGUACAACGGAUCUUGGCUAUCUCCGAGAUAUACAGCGGUGACGCCUGCAUGACAAUCACCGGUGAGAUGAAUCAAGAACUGAUAUAGAAUUUCUCCGGUCUCUGCGCCACGGCUCAGAGAAAGGCACCCGCCCGCCGCCGUCGGAAUCAUGCUCCGCGGCUGCUCCUCGUCGCCACACCGCUCCUCCUCAUCGUUUCUGUUUCACCGGAACAUCUCCGCCGCUGACCCCCGUCCCACGGCCGCCGCUCGCCAACGGAAGAGAAAGAGAGAGAGAGAGGGGGGAGGAUGAGGAGAGAAUGAUUUAUGUGGACCCCACAUGUCAGUGGGUCCCACCCAUACUUUUGGUGAAUGACAAAUGAGUCCCAGUAUAUUUUUUA